rnacentral:misc_RNA from 1 species
GAUGAAGAACGCAGCGAAAUGCGAUAAGUAAUGUGAAUUGCAGAAUUCAGUGAAUCAUCGAAUCUUUGAACGCACAUUGCGACCCCUGGUAUUCCGGGGGGCAUGCCUGUUCGAGCGUCAUUUCACCACUCAAGCCUCGCUUGGUAUUGGGCAACGCGGUCCGCCGCGUGCCUCAAAUCGACCGGCUGGGUCUUCUGUCCCCUAAGCGUUGUGGAAACUAUUCGCUAAAGGGUGUUCGGGAGGCUACGCCGUAAAACAACCCCAUUUCUAAGGUUGACCUCGGAUCAGGUAGGGAUACCCGCUGAACUUAAGCAUAUCAAUAAGCGGAGGA